GAAGAACUGUAGGGACUACAGGGAUAGCCUAGGGCAUAUAAGGUAGAUAUAGCGAUUAGUCGAUCAUUUAUCUUUUUCUAGGAAAUUUCUAGUUGAAUAGAAAUAGUUCACUAAUUAUUAGUU
rnacentral:ncRNA from 1 species